CGAAUUUGCCGUUCUGCCGGACCGCCACCGCGCUCUGUCUGACUACCUGCGUACUAUACACCUAUACGUGUUAUUAUCAUUAUUAUUACAACAUACGGUCAGAAUCCCGCAAACGUCGGCCCUUCAUCGCCGUCACCCGGACGACCGUGUGUCAAUGACGUAUUAUACCCGCGCGCUCGUAUAUUAUGUAUAUAAUAUUGACCGGAUCGUCUUAAAAGUAUCUCUUGCCG